rnacentral:misc_RNA from 1 species
CUUGUGAUGGCAUUUGGUAAGUUGUUUCUAUAUUGAGAAGUAUGAACUUUCAUUACCAUGAAGAAAAUUGCUCACACAUUAUGGAUUCUUUUUUCCAUUUCCAGUCAUUAUGAGUAUUUGUGGAUGAUAUAUUGAUAUUAGAACUUAUUUAUUCAUUAGUUAGAGUUCUAAGUAGGAUUGGAAACCUAAGAUACUUACUGAAAAUGUAGACCAUGUUAUUUGCAAAUGUAUGAAUACAUUAGAUCUAUAGGUGUAGUUUGAAACUGUAUCUAGGAGCUGUUGUUAAUCACCCCAAACCUAGCGGACUUAAAUGAUGGUUGCUUACAAGGUAAAUUAGAUUCCAUUUGCAUGUGGAACUAAACAUGCAAGGACAAAGGACAUUAACCGUUAUGUUUCCCAUUUGAUGGAUUCUGUUUAAAGUGUAAACCAAAUGGAACCUAUAUCUUGAAUGCAAACUCUCUUUUUCUCAUGUCCCCCCCUCUCUCUCUCAAUUCCUCUUUUUAUUUCUCUUUUCUCUUCUCUCCUCUCUCUUGUCAUCCUUCAUUUGUCAUUUUCACCCCAGCCUUCUUCAAGAUCAUCGUUCUUUUUUCAGUUCCACUCAUGAGCUGCUAUCGGCUCGGCUCGGCUCAUUUGCUUAAUGAGCCAAGUUUGAGCUUAUUAAUACUUGACUCAUUUAGACUCACAAGUUCACUCAUUUAUAUAUUAAUUUUGUUUUGUAUAUGUAUAUAAACACACACACACACA